GGGGUUGUGGCUCAGCGGUAGAGCACACAUCUAAUGCAUGUGAGGCACUGAAUUCGAUCCUA
rnacentral:tRNA from 1 species